UUUAGUGCGUUGAUUAGAAGUAGUACCAUUUAAUUAUAACUUUAGAGAGCUGUUGGUUGGUGGAAAAUAGUGUUGUAAACUUGGGAACUUGUCUAUGAGCAUACUUGUAAAAACAAGUACGGGUAAGCCCGAUAUAGUUAUUGAGUGAGGAUAUUUUUUAUCCUAAUAAGAGUGGUACCACGGAAAUUUUACCUUUCGUCUCUUAA
rnacentral:ncRNA from 1 species